rnacentral:rRNA from 1 species
UACGGGGGGAGCAAGCGUUGUUCGGAUUUACUGGGCGUAAAGGGCGCGUAGGCGGUCAGCACAAGUCAGUUGUGGAAUCUCCGGGCUUAACUCGGAAAGGUCAACUGAUACUGUGCGACUAGAGUGCAGAAGGGGCAACUGGAAUUCUCGGUGUAGCGGUGAAAUGCGUAGAUAUGACAUAGAACACCAAUUGCGAAGGCAGCUCACUACACGAAUAUUGACACUGAGGCACGAAAGCGUGGGGAUCAAACAGG